GCAAAAAUAAAAAUAACCACCAAAGAAGAAGACGUCGAAGCUCUCGUGUCGUGUUUUGCAUUUCCGAGGAGGUCUGUAGUAAGAUAUCAUCACCGACUAAUCUGUCUGUACACAAUAAAUUACAAUCCAUCAGAUCCAGAACAAACCAAGGACCCGUCAAGCACGUCGGCCGCCCUGCGCUCCGUCCCUCAAUGUGACCUUUCCUUUUUCCUCCUGAACCAUCAGAGGAAGUCUUCAGCAAACCUGCCCAUCCCUUGAAAAAAACCCAGCUUUGGGAAGACAAGAAACUCACCUUCUCAUGCUGCCUUUGCCUUUAGCUACAGUCGGAGGUUUGUCUUCAGGCGGCUUUUUAAAAAAACAACCCUGUGAUGUUCUGUACACACGGCCGAUCACAGCGGAC
ensembl:lncRNA